rnacentral:sRNA from 2 species
CCACAUGACAAGCCUAAUCCUCAAAUCUGAUGAGGAACGGAGGAACCACACCUGGGGUGAACUCGCGAACUCGUGCGAGCGGGCAUCCUUCAGCCCGAACCCGUCAGCUAACUCCGGCGGCUUUUAGAAGGAGAGUG